GUUCUGAGAAAGAAAAAAAGCUGAAUUCUUACUGAAAUUGUGUGGUCAGGCUCUCACUUUAAUAUUAGUCAUUUAAGGGCAUUGCACUAUCCUUGCUAUUAAGGUGUAGCAUUGGAUAGGUGAUGAUUCAUUUAGAAACCUACUGUGAAUCAGUAUGUACACUUCCUCCUUGGAUCUAUUUUAUACAAACAUAUUGAAGACUUGUAAAGUCUAAUAGAAGCAGAUGGUAUAGUUGCAGGCUUAUGGAAGAUUUUUUUUUUGGUUGGUUGUUGGUUAGUUUUGUUUUUUCCCCAAAAUCAUAGAAUGGUUUGGGUUGGAAAGGACCUCAAGAUCAACCAGUUCCAGCCCCCUGCCAUGGGCAGGGACACCUCACGCUAGACCACGUCACCCAGUGCUCUGUCCAGUCUGGCCUAGAGCACUGCCAGGGAUGGAGCAUUUAUCACUUCUUUGGGCAACCUGAAUAAAUGGUUGAGUGAAUGAUGUAGCAAUUUAACACAGCCACUCCUUAAGCGAUCAGUAUACUCUCAUUUACUUUUUCACUUACUCCUUAAUUUAUUAAAAUCUUAUAUGCCUAUUACACAGUUUUCAUGAUUUUCAUAUUUAUAGGCAGGGUUUAUGAAUUGUAUACAAGCUUUUUCAUUGUUCCACUGUUUCAAAGCUGAAGUACUACCUUGGCUUCAUCUGUAAGUUCUCAUGUAAACUGAAACUGUAAACAAAUAUAAUGUAAAACAUACAGCAUACCAGUAAAGUUAGAUGUGAUUGGGAAGAGACGGUGCUAUAUGUUUCAAUUUAGAGAGCGUUGCUUAUAAAUCUCUGUUUUGGACAUGUCAGUUGUGAUAUGCCUUCAUAAUAGGUUUGAUCUAUUUAAUUUUAUAGAUUCUCCUAGUUAUAUAGAACAAAACAUUUUAAUAAUGCCUCUUAAAAUACGAACUUUUAUGCUGUAUAUUUCAAAAUCAGAGUUGGUAGGGUCAGGGUGAGUGCAUUCCAUGUGUGUAUAUAAAUGGUGUCACUAGUUUUUCUUGUUAUGUGUUGGUGUUACUUUCAUUAUUACUAAAAGGCUGUCACUAAGGGAAGAGGCUGUUGUAAAGGGUUUUUCUUUUCCAUUGGAACAAUGGUAAAAGGAUUAUCUAACAUCCAGAUUUCAGAUUUCCAUUUGGCUUACAAAUGAGAAUAAAGAAUGUAUAGAGCACCUGUAAAAUCAGUUCCCUGUCAUACAUGUCCUACCCAUACAUGUUUUCAUACCCAAGAUGAAAUCAGUAAACUUAAUUGGAAGACAAGCAUGAGUCUGAGGAUGUUCCGUGUAAAACCCCUUGAGGCAUACACUCUUAGCUGCAUGUAGAAAAUGCACUUGCAUUGAUGUAAAUAGCCUUAGCUAAUAAAUACUGAUCUGGGAAAGAUGUAAUUGUGGGGUAGAAGCUUGUAGUUUUAGAGCUCAACAAAGAUUUUUGUAGGAAGGUUUUCAGGAGAGAUUUAAAGGCAGAUUAAUAUCGAAUGCACACAGUUACAGUUUGCUGUUUUAACUGCAACUGCCUCUCAUGAUGAGAAUGGUUAAGCCCUGAAAUAGGAAUUCCAGAGACAUCCAAUUUAUACUGCAAUGUAGUCAGUACUGUAUUUUGCUACUUCUCUGUAAUAUACAAAUUUGGAAGAUUAUGCUAAUGAUGUAAGUAUUAAAGGUAGCAUUAGCAAAACCAAUAGAUAAAUCACAAGUAUCUUUGCAGGUGAACAGAAACAGGUCUUUGACUACCGAUGGAGAUGGGAUUUCUACCUGCAUUUCAGAAAAUGAAGCAUCAUCAGUUCUGGUUUUCAGAACUUAAGAUACAGAAAGAACUUGCUGAUUGUGGUGUUACAGUCAUUCUUAAGCUUCUGCAACAGCUGAAACAGAGUUGGGGUGUGGGAGCAGCUAGUCAGCAUGCAAGUACUGCACACCAAAUUCAAAUUAUAAAGAGCAGCUGAAGUAAGCAGCACAAAUCCUCCACAUCUGUUUUUCUGAACAGCUAUCUAAAAUUCAGUUACCUUAAGUUGUUUAGGCUUGGGCUCAGACAGAAAACAAGCAGUGAAUGCCAGCCUUUGAAAACGUGUAUCCUGGGUGGGACUGCCUAAGGGACAAAUAUUUUGUGCAAUGGACCUUACCCCGUAGAUUCUUGAUUUUUUUUUUUUUUUCAUUCAAUAAUGCAACUGGAUAGGGAUUCUUGAGAAAGAAUUAGGCAAGAAAAGUUU